CUGACUGAGCGGGAUCCAGAGUACAUCGAGACACGAGAAACCUUGAUGGAAAGAGCGGGGACCACCCCGUAAGCCUAAAUACUACUUAGUGACCGAUAGCGCAUAGUACUGUGAAGGAAAGGUGAAAAGGACCCCGGGAGGGGAGUGAAAGAGAACCUGAAACCCUGUGUUUACAAGCUGUGGAAGUUCUUUAAAUGAACAACCGCGUACUUUUUGUAGAACGGUCCGGCGAGUUGCGGAUACUGGCAAGGUUAAGCACUUAAGGUGCGGAGCCGAAGGGAUACCAAGUCUUAACAGGGCGUUAAGUCAGUAUACGCAGACCCGAAACCGGGUGAUCUAUCCAUGUCCAGGUUGAAGUUGUCGUAAAAGACAAUGGAGGACCGAAGCCACAUCCGUUGAAAAGGGUGGGCAUGAGGUGUGGAUAGGGGAGAAAUUCCAAUCGAACCCGGAGAUAGCUGGUUCUCCUCGAAAUAGCUUUAGGGCUAGCCUCGAUUUAGUCUUAUGGAGGUAGAGCACUGAAUUUCCGCGGGGGCGUCAAAGCUUACCAAAGAAUAUCAAACUCCGAAUGCCAUGUAGAUGAUGAUCGGGAGUCAGACUGCACGAGAUAAGUUGGGCAGUCAAAAGGGAAAGAGCCCAGACCACCGGCUAAGGUCCCAAAGUGCGUGUUAAGUGGAAAAGGAUGUGGGAAUUCGAAGACAACUAGGAUGUUGGCUCAGAAGCAGCCAUACAUUCAAAGAGUGCGUAACAGCUCACUAGUCGAGAGUUCCUGCGCCGAAAAUGUCCGGGGCUGAAACACGACACCGAAGCCGUGGACUCGCAAUGCGAGUGGUAGAGGAG
rnacentral:rRNA from 1 species